rnacentral:rRNA from 1 species
AUUGAACGCUGGCGGCAUGCCUUACACAUGCACGUCGAACGGUAACGCGGGGCAACCUGGCGACGAGUGGCGAACGGGUGAGUAAUGUAUCGGAACGUGCCCAGUUGUGGGGGAUAACUGCUCGAAAGAGCAGCUAAUACCGCAUACGACCUGAGGGUGAAAGCGGGGGAUCGCAAGACCUCGCGCAAUUGGAGCGGCCGAUAUCAGAUUAGGUAGUUGGUGGGGUAAAGGCUCACCAAGCCAACGAUCUGUAGCUGGUCUGAGAGGACGACCAGCCACACUGGGACUGAGACACGGCCCAGACUCCGACGGGAGGCAGCGGUGGGGAAUUUUGGACAAUGGGCGCAAGCCUGAUCCAGCCAUGCCGCGUGCGGGAAGAAGGCCUUCGGGUUGUAAACCGCUUUUGUCAGGGAAGAAAAGACUCCUGUUAAUACCGGGGGUUCAUGACGGUACCUGAAGAAUAAGCACCGGCUAACUACGUGCCAGCCGCCGCAGUAA